rnacentral:rRNA from 1 species
GACAGCAGCCGCCGCGGUAAUACGUAGGGGGCAAGCGUUAUCCGGAAUCACUGGGCGUAAAGGGUGCGUAGGCGGCUUGUUAAGUCAAGGUUAAAAGGCAGCAGCUCAACUGCUGUUCGGCCUUGAAACUAAUAAGCUUGAGUAUAGGAGAGGAAGGUGGAAUUCCCAGUGUAGCGGUGAAAUGCGUAGAUAUUGGGAGGAAUACCGGUGGCGAAGGCGACUUUCUGGACUAAAACUGACGCUGAGGCACGAAAGUGUGGGUAGCGAACAGGAUUAGAUACCCCCGUAGUCCCUGUCUCUUAUACA